rnacentral:snoRNA from 1 species
UUCUAUGAUGAUAACCAUUAACAACAACAACUUUGAAUUUCUUCAACCGAACCAACAGGUGGAAAAAUUAAUUUGACAUAGCUUUUUAACCCUGAUG